CAUCCACCUCCCACCCCCCCAAGUCUUAAAGAGGCCCAGAGUUAUUAGAUUUGGCUAACUCCCUUCCCAGCUGCCCCCCAGCCCUUCCCCCCAUCCUCCAAAGGAGGCUUCUUUCUGGGACUGCAGGAACAGAGAGACGGCAAUGGGGCAUCCAGGGCUUUACCCAGGGCUGGGCUGCCCUCGGGCUCCUCCGCUGGGUCGCUGCCCUCCUCCAGAGCCCCAGGGUAAGCACCUUCACCAUCCAGAAGUUCCUUUUGCUGGUUCUGUCGUUUGUGCUUCAUUCGUCGAUUCUGGAACCACACUUUGACCUGCCUCUCAGUCAAGUCCAGCAGCGCCGCUAUCUCCACUCGGCGGGGCCGGCACAGGAUCUGGAGGGAUGUAUCUACAGUUCAUGCAGCAUUCUCACAAUCAGAAGAAAAGGCGAGAUCCCUCUCUUAACUAAUCCUGUCUGACUUCGAGUCACCCCCAUUUUCACUCCCAUAGAUAGUUCUGCCAACUCUAAAAUUCUUCCACUGCUCUUAGGCACCUAGUUGUGAGGUGAGGUGAAGUAAGGGGGGGGGGCAGAUUCUCCUUUCCCUUCCCCCAGACUCAAUUCUUACUGCUCUCCCCAUCCCCAUCCCCCAAUAUACCAGGCUUACACUCUCACCCCGAAAAAUGCAAAAGCAAAUAAAAUCUCCCCCCCCCCUUCUUCAUAGCAGAAAAACAAACAAAGACAUCCAAAGGAAAAGUAACCUUAAAAGCAUCCUCCAAAACCUCCCAGGAUUGGGAUGGAGGAAAACUAAUCAUCCAGGCCCCGACUUUUCAUUCUACUCCCUGGUCUGUGGUAUAGACCCGAACCGCUCUGUCCUGCUCCAGAAGUCUACCCUAGGUCUAUAUCUACCCUUCUACAUCUCCCCAGUCCCAUCAAACUCUCUAGCCCACGCCCCCCAGUUCACUGUACAGACCUGCGGGCGAUCCAGCUCCAGAGGCCGGCACUGUGGAGGAAGCUGGGGCAGGGGAGGA